ensembl:lncRNA
GUGGGGUCUCUUUCGAUUCCCCAGAGAGAGGAACAGUAGUGACGCCAAGCCCACUGACUCCCGAGGAGCUCAACUCCUUCUGCAAACGCUUUGAGGAGCAGCAACCAAAGGAAAUCUAUACUUCUUUGAAAAUCUCAUUCAAAGUCAGAAGAUAAUCAAGUUUUGACUCAACACACAAUGAAGAUUUUGUGCUUAGUUCUUGGACUGCUGCUGCUGACUAUGUACUCUGGAGCAACUGCUGGGAUUAGCUCAAUGAGAUCAAACAAAAACUGCUGCAAUGAUUUCAAAAUAAAACCUAUUAACAAGAAAAUAUUGCCUCCAUCAAUAAAAUUCCGUUGUACUGUAAGCAAUAUGGAUUCAAAGUAAAAUAUCCAAACGGAAAAGGAAUUUGCUACCAUCAGGAUGACAAAUGGGCUCAGAGGAUAUACAAGCAAUUCAACCAUGCCAACUGAAGAUCCUUUUGAAGAAACAAUGGGAAAGAGCAAAAACAUAAAAGCAACAGCUAUCAAUAUUGUUGAGAUCUUUUGCAUUAUUGCAACAGCUGUCAUUACAACUAUUAACAUAAUUAUUUUCCAUGCAAUGCUAAAUCCAAGUCAAAAAUUGAUCUAAAAUUGCUUGGUUUGACCAAUUUUCAAAUUUCCCUAAAUAAAUGAGAGAUUAAAAUUGAAGAAUUCCAUGUUUUUUCUUACAUCCUUUAAAAGAGAUUAUCACAACGAGGCAUAAUUUGGUUCCUAUUUUGCACAAGGAGUUGUUGUACGCAAUGUUGUUUAUCUUGUGAAACAUAUUGGACAAAGACAAUACAGGCCUAUGCCCACUGAAUUAAACAGUUUGCUUCAUGCAGUGCUCAACUAAGUUCACGUUCAUAUUAGUUAACAAAUUAUAAUAGCGCAUGGUCAGCAUGCUCUGUAGAAACUUUCAAGUGUGCAAUUGAAACGGUCCACAUUUUUGUAAAAUCAACAAUACAGGGAAAGAAUUAUGGGCACAUUCAUUGAUGAACAUGUCUUGAAGGUGGGAUGCCUAGUAUAAAAUAUCUGGCAAACAUGAACCAGAAUUAUAGCUCGAGUAUCACUUAAUGUGUUUGCAGAAUUCAGUAGUCUUGUCAUCUGAAGCCUUCUUUGAAGGUUUACUUUUUAACGGGGUCAGAUCUGGUUUGUGAUUCGUCUGGUCUUGAGUCACAUUUUCAUUCCAGCAAUAAAUGCCUUCAAAAACCAAACAUCAAGCCCUGGAUGUUGAAGCAUAACCUUUCAUCUUUAAUAUUAAUCAUGUACAGUUAGCGAACAGGCAAUGAAACAAAGAAAAUAAAACAAAAAGUAACCUUGUAAAAAUGCAUUAUUAUUUUAAAGAAAUCCUCUUAAUCGUUCAUGGUAACCAGUGGUUUGGAAAUUAAGUUGCGUAAGAACAUUGGAGAGAAGAAUACGGUCCGAGGUUUAACCAAACGUAGUCCUAAUGACUUAGUUAUAUGAGCCCAGCAUUCCUCCUCAAAAGCAGAUGCCCUUUGAGUAAGAGG